ACAGAACAUACCGAAGAGAAAACGAGGGACUUUGCAACCCGCGGGCGUACCUUCCUUGUGAUUGGAAGUUAUGUGGCUCCCGACAGGUGUCAUGUAACAGCUAGAAAAAACCCUCAUCCAAGAGCACCCUCUCGUUUACCCUUCCCUACCUUUUUCCUCCAGGGACGAUUCUAGAGUGUCUUCUCUUCGAUCGAAGGGUGCAAGAAGUUAGAAGAUGAUUUGAAACACUGAAGAAGCCGGAGAAGGAACGGAAGCAAGUUGAUCGAUAUGAGGUUGUUUCAUGUUGCAUUGCAUGCUUCUGCUGCAUGUCUCGGGUUCUAGUUCUUUAUAUCAACCAUCUGGAUUGCAGUACGAGGAAUACUGCAUUCCGAUGAAACAAUCAAAUCAGAGACUGCUGGCACCAAAAGAAGGUGAUUCCUCGAGUUACUGGAGCCUUUGGAUUCACAAACUUGUUCAUCUCCUGUUAUCAGGUAGUAUUUGCAAUUUGAUUCUUUCUAUAGAGAUAUGAACUCAACUCAUUGGAUUCUAGUACCACCAUUUUCUACUUGACAUGCAGCUGCUUCAUAGUCCAUGCUGACAGAGGUGAUGUAUAAUGACACAGUCUCUGGUCUUUAGGUUUCUUUUUAUGUAAUUCCUGCCAAGCAAUCUAGAGUUUACAACCCGUAUUCAAAUAUGUCGAGUGAAUGACUAGUGGUAUGAACGCACACUUGCCACUUGCCAUCCACGAACCAUGAUUGAAUAGGGAUAUCAUCAUCGGAUAUCUUUUAGAUUAUAAAAGUUCUAUUCGAUUGUUGUUAAAUGAAGGAUGCUUUAUGGAUCUCAAUAUUAGAAAGUUCAGAAAUUUUAUACA